rnacentral:lncRNA from 1 species
UUCUUUUGGGUGAGUUGUGGUGGUGAUGAAUGACGAUGAGCGGUGAUGGAGAGGAGCUGCUAGGGUUUCUUCAAGUUGUGGUGAGAGAAAUACUGAACGAUAGUGAAUGAGAGAGAAGAGGUUAGGGAGUAGUAACCAAGUACAAAAUCCAACUAUGUUUAAGCAUCUGUGUGAUUUGGGCGGGUCAGGGUACCUGCGGUUCAGUCUUUACCACCCGGACCCGCCCAUUUAAAUCCGACUGAACCCGGUUUCAUCACCCGGUGAACCCGUUGGACCGUCUAAACCCGCCCAAUUCCUUUUUUUUCUUUCGGUUUUUGCGGGUUGGGUCGGGUUGCGGGUGUUUGUCCAGCCCUAGGUGAGGUACCUUAUGUGUUAAAUAAAUUAAAUAAAUGUAAUUUGUUGCUUCGUGUUCAAUUUUUAAUUCUAGUAUUUAUUCAUAUUUAUGCAUUAAUAUGAAUAAAUAUUUUUUUUAAAUUCAAUUUUUUUUAUAACAACAAUAUGGGGGAGUAUAUUUAAACAAAGAUGUCUAAUACUUAAUAUUGGAUAUUUUUGUUCACAAAGUAUAAAUACACCCUAUUAAUAAUUCAUAUUAAAUAUUUGGCUUAAAUAAUUUUUUGUUUUUCGAUAAAUUUGCGUGUUUUUAUUUUUUUAGAUAAAAACUUUAAAUAUUGAAUUUUAUUAAUUUUAAUUUUAAAUUAAAAUUUAUAUAUUUUCUGCAGAUUUUUCUCUUAUGGAUUUAAAUUUUAGGAACUAAAAAUAAAAAGAUUUUAACAUUUAAAAAUUAUUUCACAGAAAAAAAAUACAGUGGCAAAAAUAAAAAAUACUUGUAUCAAAAUACUAUUUAAAUUUAAAUAUUUUGUUCACGUGAUUUGAAAAUAAAACACACCAAAUCUAGUGUUGUUUUGCUUUUAAUGAGAUAAAGAAAGAAAAAACGAAGGAUAAAACAAAAAAUGGAUUGAAAAGACAUUGGAAUAUUGUAUGAGUGUCACAUUUUAUAUCCAAAAAAAUGUUUUGGUUUUAUUAUUACUCAUUUUCUUCUCUAAUUUGAGCUUCUUUAUUGUCUUAAUAAUGGAUAUUCUCGUCGGCUGAUAUUGCAACUUUUUAUAAAAUCUAACUCUGUCCACAACUUACUUCCGUCACUUUUCUCAACCUUUCUCCUACGUGUUUGUGUCUUACCAUCAUAUUGCUAAUAAUGUAACCACAAAAUAAUUUAUAUUUUAGAUAGUGAGAAUAGGGGCAGUGCAAAAAUAUAAUUAAUUAUAUUAUAUUAAUACAUUAAACUCUAUUGUACCACAAUAAAUUUAGAUUACUUAAAUAAUUAAUGAGUUUAAUUAGUUAAACUGAAUUCAUAAAAGUGGUUUAAAUUUUUUAGUUAAUAGAAUAUAGAAGUUAAUUAGUAACUUGUUAGAGUUGGUUAUACAUGUUGGAUAUAAUGGUAACUUUGAUUUAUUUCAUUACCACAAUGGGUUUAUAUAUAAUAAAACAACUAUUAUAGAAAUUACUUGCAUUUCAAGUAAUGUGAAACUUAUUCAAAAUUGUCAAACAACAAAGUUAUACAACAAAUUCUCCUAUACUUUCAUAUCUAUUACAAGAAAUCAAGUAAAAGUGGAUAUUUGAUGGUUUUGUGAGGAUAUCAGCUGCUAAUUGAAUUUGAGAGUUGCAAUGCUUUAGUUCAAUGACUUCUUAUAAGCCCUCCUUUAAUUUAAUAAAGGACUCAAACUUUAAUAAUUUUGUGAGGAUAUCAUUCAAUUGAUUUUAGAGACUUGUAGUGUUUUAAUUCAAUCACUCCUUCCUUAGCAAGGUCAAUUAGAAAGUGGAAAUUUAUAUCUUUGUUUCUUCCAUGCAUAAUUGAAUUUUUUUCAUAGCUUGAUUAAGGAAUUAUUAUCAUAGAAGAUGAUUAAUCUUUUCCCUUGAGUUAUCUUCAAGUGUGUCGAUAGAUUUCUUAGUCAAACUCCAUGACACGUGGAUCUAUGUGCAUUUAAGUUCUGUUAAGGUGAUUCGAAAUGGUGAAGUUUGUUGAUAUCAAAGUAGCAAUCAACUAUUUUGUUUUGUCGGUGAUGAUAACAUCUAAUAUCCAUCAAUAUCUAGUGAAGUUCUUAUCUCUUAAAGAUAGCUUACACGGUCGAAUAUGCUCUAAGUAUCAAGAUAUUUAACCAAGUUAUCCUUUUGAAUAUGCUCUUGGUCAAUUGCCUAGAAGAUCAAGUCAUCUUUUUGAAGUCAACAUUGUCAUUCAACGAUGUUGAAGUGAAGACUUAUAUUUCAUGGUUCUUUAAUGGUCUGGUCUCUUAACUCUUUGAUGAUGGUAAACAACUUGAAGACAUCUCAAGCUUCAUCAAGCUAAAGAUUCAAAGUUCUUGUGUGAUGCUAAAGUAAAACAUAAUGAUUCUAAGGUGUAAAGCUUCAGAGUUGUAAAAGAGAAGAAGUGUGAAAGUCCGCAUGGUCGUGUGUGACAGAGUCUUGUAAAUGCACAAGGGUAUUUCUCGAAUUACUAAGAAAAAAUAACACACACACUUAAAACCUUUGAUGAGUCUAUAUUAAUUUUUUUAAAACACCUAAUUUUUUUUAAUGUCUAGCUAAUUGUUGCGAAAAUGUAUGAUCAAUUAUAAGCUUGUUAACAAGUGAAUAAUUGAUUAGCCAUGGUGCUAUAAUCAAUUAUUACAAUUUCUAACACUGAUAACCGAUUAGAACAAGUCUCUUAAUGGUUGAAAAUAAUUAAAAAUCAAAAUAUUAUAUUUUAGGAUGUAAUAAUUGAUUAGCAUAAUCGAUUAUGGCACAUAAAUAGCUCAUGGAUUAUUUCUAAAUUUAUAUCACGCUUUGGCCUAUAAAUAUAGAGGUCGUCUACCAUUUCAAAACAACUUAUAAAAUGAUUUAUCCUACUAUAUCACUCUCUCAUCUUUUACCAUAAAUAUAUCUUUCUCUCACUUGAAUUUUUCUUAGUGAUUUGAGAGUGUUCUAGUGUUUAGUGAGGAUCUUUGUUCUUAGUGAAGGGAAUAUUUGUAAUUUACCCAAGAGUAUAUUAUCUCCUAAGUAAAGUAUCUUUUAUAAGAAUUUUUUUAUUGCAAGCUAAACCAUUAAAAGCUCUGGUUUGAUUCGUGAGUUCUACCUGCGACAGAAGCUCUCAUUUAAUUCAUGAAGAUCAGCUAUUAAAAUCUCCAUACAAUUUCUAGAUAUCAGCCUAGUGUAAAAUCUCUUUCGGUUCAAGAUCAACUCGUGUAAAAUAUCAUCUUGGUUUGAUAUCAAGUAGUGUAAAAUAUCAUCUUGGUUUGAGAUCGGCCCGUGUAAAAUCUCAUUUUGGUGUGAAGGUCGGCAUGUGUAAAACUCCGGUUUGGUUUGGAGGAUAUACACUAUAAAAAUCUAUCUCGGUUUGAAAGAUAACCAAUAUAAAACUCCAUUUUGGUUCGGAGGUCAAGUUGUAUAAAAUAUGUGUUUGAUACGGAGGAUAGCUAGUCAAAAAUCUAUUUUUUGUUUGGUUAGAAGUUAGCCAUUGAAAAACUUCAAAUCCUUGUAAAAGGAGUUUUGUGGGCAUAUCUUAUUGAAAGCUCUCAAGAUAGUUGAAACUCUGAAAUGGAGAAUUCAAGGCUACGUAGUGAUCGCGGCUUUAUGAGUCUAUCGGAUUAUCUAACUGCAAUUAUACAGUUUAUCACAUAGUUUUAAAAGAUAUUGAUCCCAUGAAGACUAAAUUGUCAAUCUAUCGUUUCUAGUUGCUACGAUGUUUAUCUAAGGCGAAUGAAUUAAGCAAAGGAGAGAUGAAAUAAAUAACUUAAAUAAAUUCAGACAAAUAAUACUGGAAUGUGACUCUCAUCAAUCAAUAGUACUCUUGAUUGUUGCUAAAUAGUAUUACUGUAUGGGGUAAUAGUUUCUACUUUGAAAAGAAUGUAAUUGAACAGGGACUGUCGCUUUCGCGUAUUUUAUACCGUCCACUGUCACGUGUGACUUGCGCUUAUUGUGUUAAAGUAGUAAAUCCUAUUUUAAAAAAUUAGACUCUUUACUUAGUUGAAAAGUAAUUUUGAUUGAAAAUUUUACCUUAAAAGGGUUCCAGGCUUUCGCUCAGGUAACCGAAUUCUAAACCUAUAAACGCGUCCGCAAAUAGUUUUAAAACCACUUUCUAGAAAUAUUAGACUUUCCUAAUUAAUUAAUAAAGUAAUUUUGCGGUAUUAGUUAAUAAAAAACAAACCAAUUUUAUUCUUUAGCGUCAGACGACUUUCGAUCUUACCCGAAGUUUUCACGGCUCUACUUUUGUAGUGACCGAUUAAAUUGAGUUCAGAAAAAUUGUAUUAAAACCAAAAUAGCCCACAAUUGAAAUCCCAAAGAAAUAAUAGUUAGAGUACCGGCAAAUGACGUUCCUCACAUCCCAACAUCAAUAAAUUAGCUGAACAUGUUUAUGACAAACAUAAAAAUAUAGAUAUGAAACUUAGAAGUAAACAUUUUGGAAAGGUAAUUGAAUUGAAAAUAGCGGUUUAGAAAUUGGUUUUGAAAAUGAAAUAACGACAAGAUUAUGCAAUUAACAAAAGUAAAGCAGUACGGUGCGAGAAAUAAGAUUUGAAAAUAAAAGAAGUAGUACGAGGCGAGGAAAGUAAAGUGUGAGUAAAUAAACAAAGUGAUAUAAUAAAAAUGCAUAAUAUAUUAAAAACCUGCUCCAAACGGAGGCUUGAAUCUGGUAUAGAAUAAAUUUCUGAAUACUUUUAAAGAAAUAUAAAUGGCGGCAAGAUUAAGCUGCGAUAAAAUAAAGUACUCUAAACUUCAUACAAACUCAAUGCUCUUUGGUGUUAUAACCCCUCGAUGUGACGAGUUAUAACUUUAAUCAGUAAUUAUAGUGCUUAAAAUAAUGCUAAGCUUGGUUGGAAAAUGAAGCUUAUCACCUAUUUAUAGUGUUCCAAGAUCCAAAAUAUCAAGCGGGAAGUUUCUUCAUUUGUGGGAGAAAAUAUAGGAGUGAAUGGAGUGAGUGGGAGACCAAGCAAAUCCAUUUUCUAACCGUUUGGCCUUCACAAAGGAUGGAGAAUGCCAUGCCAAGAUGGCGAACGCCACCUUCCCAACGUGUAGAAGAGUGGGUCAAUCAACUGUUGGUGAGUGGGACAUGUCAUUCUUCUUAUGGCAUUCUCCAUGGUGAACGCCACGUAGAUCGCCUUGUGUGUAAUUUCCCAUAUUUUUCUUUGUUUUGCAUCUGAAUUGCUUCGUUUCUUUGCACAUGGCUCCUAUAUGGUCAAAUACCUGAAAUGCAGAUAAAAUAUACAUAUAACAUUGGAAAUAGAGGUAAAACAAUAAUAAAACAUGUACAAAAAGAGUCAAAAUAACAGUGUAAUUUGGUGUUAUCAAACUCCCCCAUACUUGAACCUUUGUUUGUCCUUAAGCAAACAUUUAUGAAGAAAAAUAGUGGUGCUUUUGUAACUAUUCUAGGCUAAAGACUCUAAUUCACUCAAAGUCAUAUUGAUAGAUACUAACUCGCAAACUAAGGGUAUCAUAGCAACACGUGUUUGUCGUCAUAAAUCUCCUUCCUACACAAACCAAUUUGCAUCAUGUCAUUAUGCCCAUGCCUAACUUACUCGUCCCAUUUUUCUUCCUUUUUCAUUUAGACACAAUCACAUUAAGCCAGUUAUCUGUUCACACAUGACAAACGAACCUGUUAGUGACCAUGAUCCACAUUAUGUCAAAUAUUCUGAUGGAUAUGCAACAUUCUUAGAGGUUUCACAACCGUUAGGCUAAAUGGACGGGUGAGGGUCACCUAACUUAGAAGGAGGAUUCCUUUUUCUAUUUCUUACUUUUCCAGAUUUUUGCUUUUCUUUUCUUUCUCUUUACCGUGGGAUCAUUCACCUAUUUGCAUCAGUCCGCUUACUCGAUGGUAAUUCAUUUGGUGCUGACUACUAGGAUAAACUACUUAAAAACUUAUUUAGGGGCGAGAUUUCAAGGUCAUGGCAUAACAAGUUUCUAAAUCAGUCUCUAUAAUUAGGAGACUUACGGUGUUAAGACGAUACUGGUCUUUUGGGGUUUUCCCAAGUCUCUUAACAUAUCCGUAACUUGUCUAAUAGCCUAAAAUUUCAAAUGAAACACUUGUUUUCUUAAAGUUUUUUUUGUAUGGCUCAUGAAAUGGAAGAAUUAAUAAACAUCAAAAACCAUGCAUAAAGACUCGACAACAUAUUCAAUGACUCGGUGAACAAGUUAAAAUUAGAAAAGAAAACCUAAGCAAUUAUACUAAAAAUCAAUAAAUCUAUCUAGAAAACAAAGAAAAGAUAGUAGGGGAAAUAAUCAAAACACGCAUUAAAGAUUCGAAAAAAUGAGCAAAAAUCCAAAGGUGCAUACUAGAAAUGAGUAAAAUAACUGCAAAAAAAUAAAUCUAGAGUAAAUCUAAUAAUGGUGAAAAUAAGUUCCUCCCCCACACAAGAACUAAGAAUUAUCCUCAAUGCCUAAAAAUCUGAAGAUGAAGUAGAGUUCUUGAUAAACGUGGUCCAUCUGUUCCUGCAUAGAAUCCAUGAAGUGGUGGAGAACGUUACUGAGAGUUGAGAUAUCUAUUUGGAUGGCAGUAAGUUCAGCGGUAAGUGGGUCAGGACUAUUGGGUUCAUCCAUAGGUGAUAAGGGGGUGUUUUCAGUAGAAGAUGAGUGGUACUCUUCUGGAUUUCCCAAAAGGUAUCGCCAAUUGUCACGGUUAUGUACGUUAGUCCUUUCCGUGUUUGGGAUAAUGAAUUGGUGUACUGGUUUGUAAAGGACUAGAAUCUUAUAGGUAUCAGGUCCUUCUUGCCUCACUAAUCUUCUAUUUAGGAAAUGUUUAAUGUUUAUCAGGUUAUAACCACAUAAAUGUUCUAGAUGCACGACUCGGUUGCGAAGACCUAAAGCUAUGGUGAUAUGGGUGACCAUACCACCGACAUAGAUGUUCUAGACAACCUGGAUGGCUACUUUGGCUAAACCCGCCAUCGAGAAGGCAACAAAGUGUACUGAGCGGGACUGAAAAAUACUGAACAUGAGAAAUACUUCUUCUUUACUGACUGGUCCAAUAUUUCCAGCUUUUCCAAAAAAGGUUUUGGCCACAACCUUCUGGAAUUACCUGAUGGUAGGGUUAUGGAUUAGAGGGGGGUUCAUUCUUUCAUAAUCAGGUGGACAAUCUUUAGUAAUGCUACCCUAGAAAAAAUCUAGUUCCCAUUGCAUAUCAUCACCUACUGGUACUUCAGUGUAGGCUCGGGGUCCAUAUUGAAAAGCUAAAAGUUUGGCUAACUCAUCAUGUGUGAGUUGGUAUUCCUUCCCAAAGAGUCGAAAGGGAGCAAAACCUUGGACUCAGUCUAUCCCUACACUAGGGUUGUAUUCGUAUGAGCUUAGGAAUUCAAAUGCCAGGUUCUUAUAGGUUGGGUGUUUGUGCACAGAUAAACGGUCCCAACUGAGCUGGUUAAAUAUUUACUUCACAUUGUCACAGAGACCUAAAGUUAUUAAGCUAGGGAAGUCAGGGUAUCGGGUUGGUGAAAUGGUUCUUUCAGCCAAGACUUCAUAGCGUCUUCUUUGAGCUUCGUCUCUGAAAAUAUCUUGCAUGUUAUUUGUACUCUCCAACUAAAUGGUUAGUAGGAAAAUUAGCCUGGGUUAGACCUGUAACAUAAUCAAUCAAAAGUUAGUCUUGUUGGUAUGAGUAAAAUAAAUCACCGUUAUACAAAGAAAAUAAAAGUUCAAAAAAUAAAAAAUUGACAAUGAAACCGUAGGUUGCCUCCCACACAUCGUUUUGUUUAAUGUCAGUAGCUCGACAUUAGUGUAAAUCAGGUUGUUUGUGUAGCAAAUGGUGGUUCAAUUAAGUCAUGGAGAGAAUAUUAGGUAGGUACAUCACCGUUGGUGUAAUUUUUUAGUCUUUGUCUAUUUAUCAUGAACGGGCCAGUUGAUUGGCUUUUAAUGUCAACUGCACCAGAUGGUAUGACCUUUGUAACUUCGAACGGUCUGGUCCAUCUGCAACGUAAUUUAUCAGGAAAUAGGCGUUAUCUAGAGUUCAAUAAAAGUACCAUGUCACUUACACGAAACUCUUUCCUUGCGAUACGCUUGUCAUUCCAUGCUUUGGUUCGUUCUUUGUAGAUUAUAGCAUUUUCAUAGGCAUCGCGUCGGAGUUCCUCUAAUUCCUGGAUAUCUAACAAUCGUUUACCAGUUUUUAAAUAGUCCAUGUUUAGGGUCUUAAUGGCCCAAUAGGCUUUGUGUUCUAGUUCGAAGGGUAAGUGACAUAAUUUCCCAUAUACUAAAUUGAAGGGUGUCGUCCCUAUAGGGGUUUUAUAGGCAGUCCUAUAAGCCCACAUUGCGUCAUGUAGUCUAGAGGACCAAUCUUUCCUGGAAAGUGAGACCGUUUUUUCUAGAAUUUGUUUUAUUUCUCUAUUUGAUAUUUCCACGUGUACAUUGGUUUGUGGAUGAUAGGGUGUGUAAGACCCCAAUUUUGACCCUAAGACCCUUCAUGCUAUUCUUAUCAUAUGCAUUGGCAUUAGGAUCACAUCUAGGUAACCUCCUUACCCCUCAUUCAUUGGCUUUGCAUUAGGAAAGAUCACCAAGAACAUUUGAUUGUAUCAUACUUCAUUUUUCUUUAUUUACUAACCAAAAUACCAAAAAUAUGUCAAUGUAUAGUUUGUUGCUUUUGUAGGUAGUGGGUAUGCUCACAUAUGCUCUAGAAAGCUCAUAUCUAGGGUUUAAGACCCUCAUUGCAAGGAGAUCAAUCAAGAAGUGGUUUACUAUGAUUCUAAGUAUCAUAUAUGAAUCCCCAUGAUCUUCACAUGUUAUUUUGAUCAAGAAAUCAUCAAGAGUUUGGAGUUAGUUUGCCUUGGAAACCCUAAUUCAUAUGGGUAUCUUAUGUAACUUCUUCAACAAGUUUCUUCAACAAUUGAUCAAAUAUUUCAAGGGAUACUUCACAUUUUAUCAUCUUAUGCAUAUGUUAUCCUCCAUGAGUCCAAAAAGUCAAAGAGAAGGGGUUCGUCCUAGUAAAAAUGUUUCACGUCAUGGAAAAACUUUUUCCUCUAUUGGUAGGUCAAUCCCUGAGGUAGUAUAUUAGCCGCGAGAAAAUUGACGAAGUCAGCGUACCAAGGUACACUGGUCACUACAGGGGAAGAUUCAAUGGUCAGCGAUAUCUCAUAUGAGGCUUCACCAUGACCUAUCCAAUUAUCGAUUGAUUCUAUUAGCCUAUUGUAGCACCUCAAAUUUGCACCUAUCAUUGUACAUACAUUCUCAUAUUAGGUCAUAACAUAACAUAGUCCACUGCAUAACAUUGCAUUGUCCCUUUUGCCUCAAGUGCAAGAUCAUCAGGAGAAUUAGGUCAAACUGAUCAGGAGAUCAGUCAAUCAAGCAAGCAAGUGUGUUUCUCAAGGAGCCAAGGCCCUAGGGUUGGUCCAACAUGUUCACAUGACUUGGGGAUCCAUUUGAAGUGUUUAGGUCAAAGAUUGGAGGCUCAGAGGUCAUCAGUCAAUGCACAAUCAGUCAGAAACCCUAGAAAGUCAAACUUGGUCAACUGUGGUUGAUUUUAUGGUUUUGAUGGAUGGAUUUGGUUUGAGAGAGCUUAUUCAUGUCCAAAUAGGCCUCAUAUAACAUGGCAAAUAACAUCAUUGAAGAAUUUGAAGCCAAACAGAAAAUUUCCAAAAAUAGAAACUGGACCUGUAAUUGAAACUUGCCAAAAAUGGAAACUUCUUGAUCCCAAACUUACAUCAUGAUACAAGCUUCAAAUGAAUUUUUGCCCAACAUGAAAGUUGAAGAUCUUGUUCUCCCAUUUCCAAAAAGUCCAAGAACACUCAAUUCCCAUGUAUGGUUGGCAAGUUAUGAUCAAAUCAUUUUCAAAAAUUCUUGAACUUCAAAAGGCCAUAUCUCUCAAACCAUUUGGCCAAAUUUGGUGAGGUUUUUUCCAACAAGUCAUAUUUAACCUCCUCUUUCCAAAAAUGUAACUUUCAUGUACCAAAACUCUAUGAAUCAAAAUGGCCUUUUUUGAACUUACAUGGUUAUUUUCAAGUGUGGUACAAAAUUGAAUUGUUGAAAUAAGCAUUUUCAAUCAGAAUGGCCAAUUGGAAUUGAUUUGAAAUGUCAUUUGUGACUUGCUACAAAGCCCAAAUUCGUGCUCCUACCACCACACCCCACCAUUUGGACCAAAGGGAUCAUUUUAGCAAAUUGCUUCAUUUGAACUAAGCAUGAUUAGCAUACAUGGAUUAAAAGUUAAAUAGCACAUAAAAACUCAUUUUCUGAUCAUUUGGUAGCCCUAGCAGCCACACAACACAGAAAAUAUCACUUGCUCUCAAGAUCCAUUUUUCUCCCAUCUUGAAAUUUCUGCCAAAAACCUCAAAGAACCCGACCUUGCCUUUGUUGUUUCAUCAUCCAAGCAUCAUUGUGAGCUCAUUGCAACAUUGUUUCCACAACUGUAAGCUCAUUUGCCCGACUGUUUUUGCAAAGCACCAUUAAUGGCCAAGUUUACUCAUUGCUGCUUAUCCACUGGGCCAUUCUCAGUGCAGAAGAGCAACGGGACAUAGGCUUGAGAUGCAAAACGCUUCUGAAGACCACCAGGCUGUUUUUGGAUGGCUUUCUUCUGUUUGCAGCAUUCUUCAGGUUCAGAAGGCCUCAUGGACAGUAGAUUCUUGCAACAAGUUGAAGGAGAUUCGUUGGAGCAGCGUUUCUUCUUCUUUCUACGCACCAAGAUGCGGUUCUGGGGAAGCGAAACCCUGCCUCGUUCCACUUUCCUGUGACGGACAUUAUAGAAGACUGAUAGUUUUUUAGAAAUUCCUCAACUUCGCGUAAUUCCAUAAGGGGCUUACGAAGAAACCCUCAUUUUAAGCGAGGAAGAAAUUUCGCUCAUUUUCCCAUGGCUACUACGGACAUUUGAUAUCUAGCAUCACACAUUACAUUACUUCCAUUCGCGUUGGGAACUUUCUCGCACGAAAUUUUUUUUACCAACAUCACAGCUUAUGUUAGAAGUACUUUCCCGAUGCUGGAUGCGUUUGUCAUUACUGGCAAGAGACUGCCGGGUUUGAUCAAGAACAAGCGACAGAUAAAGCAUUGCGUUGCUUUCUCCAAAAUGCCUUCUUUGGAAGUUCUCAGAAAACAUCUCAGAACACUUCCUGAGAAUUCCUUACCAAGUUCAGUGACUCUUUAUGUUCAGUUGUCUAGAAAGAGUGAGUAACGCUUUCGUAUCGUGUUUGUUCAUCUGAUUUGGGCGUUUCCACCUUACUCUUUGGUAUAUGGCAGUUAACUGGUGUCAACAUUCACCAGGUGAGUACAUUUUUACUAUAAGGUGUGUGGAAUUCCAUACUUCUUAAUCCAUAGAGUGAGUCCGCUAUACUAGUUACCGCGAUCACGUUUCGUUUAUGCAUCAUUAUGCCAAAGAAUGCCAAAUUCUUCUCUGCAUGUCAAGAAUCAUGUCUGGCACCUCUUCCGUGCUGAGAAAUCCUUUCUAACAAAAUUGUUUAUAGUUAUGUUCUUGGUGAAUUCCCUACAAGUUCGAACGAAGGGCCAAGAGAGGAUGUGGUAGGCUAUUCUACCUAUGGAAUUUAAAUGGAGAGGGCACAUCGAAAUUACACCUAGAUGACUUAUCAUAAUAGCUUCGCAACUAGACUUCUUAUAAGCGCCACUAAUACUCGUGAUCAUAUUAUCAUAGGAGGAGACAGCUACUCUCACCUUAUGACAUUGUGCUUCUCUCACAAUCAGGCGUUACUAUAGAUCACAUUCCGAAUGAAGUACAUUUAUUUACUAAGAAGAUGACAAGCUCAAUGUUCAACCCCUUAGACCUAAUGACUAGAGCUACACAUAACAAAAUGCCUAUGACCCAGAGAAAUGUAGUGAAUGGUGUCUUUCCUCUUUCCCUAGAUCAAAGUCUCAUAAUCUUGCAUUAAGUAAAAUCAUAUACCGUUAGAACGAGCCUAUCCCAAUAGAGGUAGGUCACAACCAAGAUUACAGAAAAGAAUUAACUACUAGCCAGUUGAUGAAGUUGGUGUGAGAUAGUAAAAACAGACAUACAAACAAACAUUGGAGGGCCUAACCCAUUCUCAGUUCAUUUAUCUAUGCCCCAAAUGGACAGUCUAGUGUGCAGACUUCUGUUCCUAUAUUGAAGAGGCCCAUCUUCUCCAGAACGGUGACUCUACAAACUAGCCGGUGGGUCCCAUUUCAAUGCUCCUAACUGUCGUCUAGUGGCGGUAUCACCCGAACAUCGAAGAGAUAUCUUUCUCCAAAGUCAGAUAAAAAAUCUGUGAGAAAGUGAAACAGGACUUUGCAUGGGUAAAUGAAAGUCCAUAUAGUGUUUCGCACCUCAGUUAGAUCCAGGAAAUUAUCGCAGAGGUCAUCUAUAUACUUUUAUUUCCAGUAUCUCAAAAAAAAAUAAUGAACAAAUAGGUGUUCUAUGACUUAGAGUUGAAGUCCAAAUGAUCAGAUACAAAGGUCGAAUUGGCUCAUGUGAGUUACCUUCAUCCAGUUGCGAAGAAACAAUCUGAUACUUAAAACUGAUCUAUAUGACUACUUCGUUCCAACAAAAUCUAAUGUUUGAUCUUAUUUUUGUGCCUUGUCAAGUAAAUCAUGGCGUUAACUAUGAAAAUUGUGUGUGACUAUCGUACAUGUAUAGGUUUGUAUCGCCGUUAAAUGAAUAUGAGUCGCUAAAUAUGAUAUCCGUCAAACCGCACAAAUAACAAGUAUUGUCAAUCAAAAGGCAACCAAAGAUCCAGUGACUCAAAAUACUAUGUCAGAAUCAAUUGCAUCCUACUUUUAGGACCCAUAUAUGGGACUUAAAAAACUUAUCAACUGACCAGUGCAAAAGAAAUAGUGAAGAAGAUUGAUGCAUCAACAGAUCACAAUUUAUUAUAGCAUUCGUGAGAGUAAGUGUUUAGCUCGUGAGACUCCCAAGAAUUGAGAAACAUUAUAGGAAUAAAAAUUUAGAAUUAAAGAAUUCCCAGGUAACGUAAUUCUUAUUCUCACAAAUAUACGGUUAAAAGGACUGAAGCAUUCGUAUUCCAUAGAUAUAGGAAGAUCGAGUUCAUAGCUAGUAUUCUUAUUGUGUGAGCUAAGCGAGAAACAAUGUAAUACAAAUCUGAUACACAAAUUAAUACUGAAUCAUGUUUAUCCCAUAACGACCUAAUAGCAAGUGGUAUAGAAGAUGUAUCUAAAUGGUCUCCACACAUUCUCAGAACAAGGCCCCCACAUAAGGUCAGUCAUAGCAAUACACGACAUUUUGUGUGAUAUUUCGAAAUCAAGAGAGUCUUCAGUGGCAGAUGGAUCUGAAGCAUUGUUAGGACUACCACGCCGACUGACAUAUGAUUGCUUCUAUAUAGUAUUUGACUCAAUUUGGUUAGAAUUAUUCUCAUAUCUCAUAAGUCUCACCUAAGAUAACAAUGGAAAUUAUAUCCACAAUUACAUUAUACAAAUCAUAAUAACAAUAAUUCACAUACGAGGUAAAACUCAUUGGAAUAUCAGCAGUACGACUUCCUUGUGUAGCGAAAUUCGGUAAUCAUACUCAUUAAAACUAAGAAGCUGUUGCAGAGGUCCCUCCAAGAGAUUUUAUGUUCGGGAAGGGUUUUUAUGUGUCUACAAGACGCAACAAAACACGCGUAUAGUGAUUAUGUUUUCUUAACUUAAAACAAUAUGGUCAGAAACAAUGGGUUAGUAUCAAUGUUUGAUUAGGGGCAGAAGACCAUACACACAAGAGUUCUAAAAUAUUGCAUUGGUCGAGCACCUUUUGUUUGCAAAAUGGAUUUUACGCAAGCUCUCACGAAGGCAAUAUAAAUGGUUUAUGCGACAAAAGGCUGAGAAAUGAAUAUAAUAGUAUAUUAUUUGUGUGUGUGUUCAUAACGCAGUAGCAUCAGUAUUCAACUCGUAUUCGUAGCUAUGAUAUCUUAAGUGGUAUUCGACAAUGUUUUUAUACAACACAAUAAGAGAUAUUUGAUGCCAUCAAGGUUUUCUAGGAUUGCUAUCUAGUAUCUUUUUGAUUUUUAGAGAAUAUUUAGUCGUUGGAUUAAUGUACUUGACUCGUUUGAUAUUAAAAACGAUUGAAAAGAUGGCAUAAUAGCAUUUAUCUUAUUUUCCAACUGCUUAGUGGUCAAGUUGAAUAGAAAAAAAAUUAGUUAAAACAAAGAAGAUCUCUGAAUGAGAGAGGAGAUUAUAAAAUUCAUUAUCUUUGAAGAGAGAAUCAGAAUAACUUUACGAGUAUAAUAACUGUAUAAAGUUUAAAACUUACAGUUGUUAACAUGAUCGUAUCACCAGAGAUCCGCUUGGACUAGUUUAGAUUCUACUAUAGCAUGAGCGAGGGAACAUUGUAUAUCAUCUUGAGAGCAAGCAUAAUAAAGAUAGGCCUCACCACCUUAUCCCUUCAUGAUCUGCUUUCAAACAUAGCCUCAUGUAGCCAAAGAAUUUCCAAGUACAGCUCACAUUAGAUCUUUAAAAAUGAUCCCUUUUUUUGUUUGUCAAGAUGACGUGCGGGAGAUGUUUGAAUAAAUUCUGUUAUCAGAAUGAUUGCAAUUGAGUUUCUGGGCCUUCAAAUCUGAUUGGCUCCAAGCAAUACAGAUGUGAGCCCUAUUUUAGAGAGGGCAGAUGCAAACCAAUAUGUCACUCAAAAGUUUUUUGGUAUGUUGGAUGAUCAUUAUGUUGGAUCUAAUGGUGUCAAACAUAAAGCAACAAUUAAAUAAAUACAAAACUCUCGAAAAGAUGAAAAUACUUACUAACAAAGUAGAAUCGGGCUCAAUAGCCUGUUCAGAUAUAAUCGUGUAGAACAUUAUUUUUAAGAUAUAGGUUGAAAGUAAUAAUUAAAUGUGUAUGUAAGUUUUGAUUUGGUUUUGCUCUUUGCUUAUGAUUUAAAUCGUAUUAAAACUAUGGAUGUAUCAAAAAUUAAAACCAGCAUAUAUAGUGCGCACAUAUGACCCUAGAUUCAAUCCAUAUAGUUAAUCUUCAAUCAUUGCAUUAGACUUGAGAUGUAUGCCAAAGAAUGAAAUGAAUGAGAAGGGAAUUGAUAAGAAGCAAGGGGAAUGAAGAUCACAAAUGGAUAAAGCAAGUCACUUUCAAAAUUAAUUUAUUCAAUCAUUUUGGAGAGGGAUUGUAUUCCUCAAUCCAGACAAGUAAUAUUAAUUUUGACCCAAAGCUCAAUUAACUAAGACCAGGGCACAAAGGAGAACUCAAUUAAUUCAUACAAUGGAAAUAACCCAAUUAAAAAUGUAUUAUUCCAAUUAAAAUAGUAAUAAUGACAUAAUUUGAGUCGCUUUUGUCAAAAUCUGUAGCAUAUCUUAUCCCAAAAGGUAUACCAAGUAACAGCGGGCCAUGAUGAUUCAAGUACUAUUAAUCCAAGUCAAAGACCCUCUGAAAUUUUCAUUAUUUAUUGGACACCAUAAAAUAUUUUUUAACCCGAUAAAAAAUGAAAAGAAAUAAUUAUGAAAAUUAAUAAUGCCCAAAAGACCAAUUUUUUACACAUUAACAGAAUUAUGAAAGAGAAAAGUGUUUUUAAAGUGUGUCUAUAUUCUCACGCAUAUUUUUGGAGUCAAAAUCAAUCUCAAUAUUAAUAGAAUCUGAGCAACAUUAAAUGAAAAUUAAGGAAAUCCAAAUAUGUCGGCAAACAUUACUAUUCUCUAAUUAAUUGACAUUGUAGGCAGAAUAUUGGUUUAUCCAUAACAUCUGAGUAUCAACAAGAUUAUAGUCAUAGAUUUAAACGUUAGAAUUAGAUCUCGAUGGUGCCAUAUGACAGCCAUAGAAAUCCGCCGAGCAAAGGCUCAAGGAGAUCCCGCUAUUUUUAUAGGUAUCAUAUUGCUUACUAUGCUCAUAUUGGUCAUCAUACCGUCAGCGCCACGGAUUGGUCAGAUGACCAUCAACCUAAUUAAAAAUGACAGUAGAUGAUUUUAAAAGAACAUCAAACUGAGCACGUAAAUUAAUCACCUCCAAGUCCUCCAAUUCCCAAUAUAUUAGAAUAGUGAUGGUAAUUGGAAGAUUAUGUUCAGUGAUGUUGGUUUGCUUCGAUUUGAGAUGACAGCUAAAGACAUAAGAACUUUGCAUAUCGUUGCUAAAAUGAUCGUAUGUACAACUAGUGAAAAGAGAAACUCAUAAACAUCUAUUUUACAAUUAAUUUUUAUGAUGAAUCGGAGCUUUAAAUUUCUGCAAUCCUUCAAUGGACGGUUGAGCUUCUAGAUCUUGUAGUCCUAGAAUCUGUGUGUAUUGGCAUUCACACUUGCUCGAGAAAUGGAAUAAGCGAUUUUAGAACAACGAUCCUGAGAGAAUUGUAAAUUCCACCCUAAAAAUAGACCCCGGGUAGGUCAUUCAUCUGACAUCAGAUUCGGCAAUUUAUCUGGAUACCUCUGGUAUGCUAUGAAGCCUUUUUUACGGAGAUUUCUCCAAAGCCUGGAUACGCAAGGUGUGUAUCUGAGAUUUAAAGAACGUUCCCUUAUGUGCAGCGAAUUUAUAGCAAAUAUAUGCACAAUCUUUCCACUUUCCAAUUGGGGUCUAAAUAUUGACAUAUAGACCACGUGCCAACAAAUUUUCAUGGACGAAAUAAUGCCAUGGAAUGAUGGUUAUGUGAAGCUUCAAACCUGAUGACAGAUCGCUCCUGUGAAGAUGUGAGUCUAUACUGUAUGAUGUCAUCUCUCAAUUGGAAAGAUUUCACCCUGCACAAUGAUAAUCAGUCAUGGUUUAACCUCAUGCAGACCAUAUGAUUUCACUACAUCUCCUAAUGAUGAGUUAGCUUUUCGAAUUGAGUUAAGAGUGACAGUAUUGAUCUUUGAGAACACUCGUUUUUAUUUGAAAUGGACUUAAGAUUAUUAAUAGUUGAGUGUUGCGAUAAAAUAUCUCACAUAUAAUAAAUAUGUUAUUUAUUCAUAUGUUAUCUAUAUUCCACACUUUUAAAUCUUUUUAGAUAUGGAGCUUCAGUGAGAAGGAUUUCUUUAUUCAAAUUUUGCUGUUCUCAGAGUAUCUUAUAAUGUAACUAUUUCAUGUGAAUAAUUGGAAUCAUUGAUAUGAUAAGUUAUGCAUUUUUGAAGUGGAAAAAUUACUCUCAUCAAUAGACUAUAGUCAAAAGUUUGCCUUAAAGCCUCCAUAUCAAUGUCUCAGAGUUGAAUUACUCCAACAUUGAACAUCAAUCAGUAUGAAAUUUGCGACAAACAUUAAAAUGCGUCCCAUGCAACUAUGGAAUAUUUCAUCAUCAUAGAAAAUUGAGCAAGUUAUGCUGGAAGGUUGACUUUCGUCAAACAAUUAGUUUAAAGCACAAAUACUAUAAUGUGUCAACAUAGAAAAUAUUUAUCUCCAGAAGCAGCUUACGGUCUCAUGAUUUCAUUUAAAAACGUGAUCUAUCGAAGAUUUUUCUCUUGGAUAAUUUCAUAUGUGAUGAAAAUGAGGAAAAGUAAGAUCUAUGCAUAGACCAAUUUGAAAUAUACGUAUAGAAUUCAUAUGUCCACACAACAACAAUUCAAGACAACUUGCAUUAUUCUUCUCUUAUACCUUAUUGAGCUAAUGUAGAUUCAUAUAUGCAUAAGAUUGAUUGAAAUAUUGAUGUGUCCUUAAGAAUUGUGUCAAUUGUUGGAGUAGCUUGUGGUUACUCAACCCUAGUCAACUAGGAUUCAAGGCAUAAUCACCCUUCAUCUCCUACAUAGAGAUAAACUUGAUCAAAUUAUACGGCCAGUGCGAAGAAUUAUGAGACUAUCUUAUGAUUACUUUAAAAUUCUAUGUUAUCAAUCCAUCUGUAUCUCGUGUCAAUGCAAAGUCUUCGUGUAGAUAUGUAUACUGAAUCAUAAAUAUGUAACAUACAGAAGACUUGAAAGAGACGAAGCUAUUUAGUAUUCUGGUUAUUAAAUGAUAAUAUAAAGUGAUGAAUAGAAAAUUCAAGAGCGCUCUGAUGAUAUCAAAAGUAAUGGUAUGAAUGAAGGAAUGCGAGAGGAAGCCCAGCUCGAAACCUGCAAAGCUUACGAUUAAGGUUGAGUUAUAUUUUUUUGUCUCUAUUGUUAUUUCUUGAGCAAAAUGAUUAUUAUGACAAUUGCAUGAGAGGGAUCUUGGGUGCUAACUGGGACAGUCCCUUAUUACCGCGUUAACUUCGCCUACUUCGAUAAAUAUGACCGUCACAAUCUCCAGAUUGUAACAUCUAUACAACAGUUUCAUGAUCCAAUUUCUGAAUAACUUUCUAAGAGUCUAAAAGAAGUCUUCAAAAAAAUUGAAAUCUUCAUGUAAGACAAGUAAGACCUAGCUUUCUCACCCCCAAUCCUUAUUCCACACAAUGAGAAAGACGAGUGUAGGGAGAUCACUUCUGAGUUUCUCAGUCUAUUACCAUCCGUUCAUAGCUCCGCUAAAGUGCAACUCUAUUGUACUUAGACUCUGCCUUGAAUACUCUAUUGCUCUCAGAUCCAAUGAACCCAACUAUGCACCUAACAUUGAUACAACAUUAUAUAUAACGGUGUCACUCACCAUUUCUAAGCGUUCUUAAAUAUCGACUCAUCUCAAGCCCAUUACCUGUCACUAACGAAAGUUUAUUGAAAAGGUGGGAGAGACCUGUUUAAAUUUCUAAUAAGGGGGGGGCGGUUUUCUUGUAACAUAAUGAAGCAGCUCAGGCUUUCUCACGCUACAUUUGGCAAUGUAAAAUAAUUUAAAGGCUUAAGAGUUGAAAAGAUGUUAAUGGUCCUGAAAACAUUAACAACCUGAAAUGCAUUUUAAUGAACGAAUCUCCAACAGACCUUGCAAAAGUGAGAAUAUUAAGUAUCACCAUUGAACAACUUUUCCAAUUUACGUCUCCUUCACUCUUGUGACUUCUUGAUCAACACUCAACGCAAUAAAAUCAAUCAGGAAGAGCUGAUUUGGCUUCAGCCAAACAUAUUUCCAGUAAAGACUUCAAUCGGAGAAUCAGGAGGCAAUCCAAAUAACAGAUGGCAUGACUACAUUCCAAGCAUAGAAAUGUUCAGUUUCUGGGUAACAAAAAUUUCAUUGUCACCACUUACUACCACUCAGUCCUAUCUAAGAAUCACUAAUACUAACCUUUCCGUANAUAUUCAAAUGCUCUCCCUGGCCAGGGAUAAGAGCAAUGAGGCACACCCCUCAUCUCCUUUCAUCUGCUUCACCUUGGCUCUCAAUGUCAAGGUUAAGAGCACCAUUUACCCAGUUCCAGAGGUUUGUUUGUUGAGGUUGAUAUGACCCCUCAACUAAAACCUAGCCUUGUUUGAGCCCCUUGCUUGUGUAUAGUGUGUACUACCUGUGCUUGUAUGUUUGUUUGACUUGCUUCCUGUGCAAGUUAGGUUUAGUUUAGACUAAUCCUUGUUUGCUUUCGCCCUCGUUGCGAUCUUUUCUCUCGCCCUCGUUGCGAUCGAGACUUUUCCUUUCUCUCGCCCUCGUUGCGAUCGAGACUUUCCCUUUCUCUUGCCCUAGUUGCAAUCGAGUCCUUUUCCCUCCGUAGCCGAACUACGGCAACUCUGAUUCUCAUGUCCAGAUGAGAUACGUAGGCACGAGAUGCGAUGUCUUGUUGAGUUUGACUAACAACUAACACUAAUUCUUUUCUCUCGCCCUCGUUGCGAUUGAGACCUCCCCUUUCUCUUGCCCUAGUUGCAAUCGAGACCCUUNNNNNNNNNNNNNNNNNNNNNNNNNNNNNNNNNNNNNNNNNNNNNNNNNNNNNNNNNNNNNNNNNNNNNNNNNNNNNNNNNNNNNNNNNNNNNNNNNNNNNNNNNNNNNNNNNNNNNNNNNNNNNNNNNNNNNNNNNNNNNNNNNNNNNNNNNNNNNNNNNNNNNNNNNNNNNNNNNNNNNNNNNNNNNNNNNNNNNNNNNNNNNNNNNNNNNNNNNNNNNNNNNNNNNNNNNNNNNNNNNNNNNNNNNNNNNNNNNNNNNNNNNNNNNNNNNNNNNNNNNNNNNNNNNNNNNNNNNNNNNNNNNNNNNNNNNNNNNNNNNNNNNNNNNNNNNNNNNNNNNNNNNNNNNNNNNNNNNNNNNNNNNNNNNNNNNNNNNNNNNNNNNNNNNNNNNNNNNNNNNNNNNNNNNNNNNNNNNNNNNNNNNNNNNNNNNNNNNNNNNNNNNNNNNNNNNNNNNNNNNNNNNNNNNNNNNNNNNNNNNNNNNNNNNNNNNNNNNNNNNNNNNNNNNNNNNNNNNNNNNNNNNNNNNNNNNNNNNNNNNNNNNNNNNNNNNNNNNNNNNNNNNNNNNNNNNNNNNNNNNNNNNNNNNNNNNNNNNNNNNNNNNNNNNNNNNNNNNNNNNNNNNNNNNNNNNNNNNNNNNNNNNNNNNNNNNNNNNNNNNNNNNNNNNNNNNNNNNNNNNNNNNNNNNNNNNNNNNNNNNNNNNNNNNNNNNNNNNNNNNNNNNNNNNNNNNNNNNNNNNNNNNNNNNNNNNNNNNNNNNNNNNNNNNNNNNNNNNNNNNNNNNNNNNNNNNNNNNNNNNNNNNNNNNNNNNNNNNNNNNNNNNNNNNNNNNNNNNNNNNNNNNNNNNNNNNNNNNNNNNNNNNNNNNNNNNNNNNNNNNNNNNNNNNNNNNNNNNNNNNNNNNNNNNNNNNNNNNNNNNNNNNNNNNNNNNNNNNNNNNNNNNNNNNNNNNNNNNNNNNNNNNNNNNNNNNNNNNNNNNNNNNNNNNNNNNNNNNNNNNNNNNNNNNNNNNNNNNNNNNNNNNNNNNNNNNNNNNNNNNNNNNNNNNNNCCAGGUUUACUCUGAGCGUUUCCUUUCCCUCUUUUGGGAUAAAUAACGCACGGUGGCGACUCUGUUGUUUCUUCUUUUCCCGCCGGUUUUUCGCGUAAUGCGACAGCUGGCGACUCUGCUGGGGAGUAUAGAGAAGUUGACCUGUGCUGGUCCAUCUUCCCUGAGCGAGUCUCUCCUAGCGCUCUCUAGGAUUAGGGUUUUGGUUGCUUUGUGCUGUGUGUAUUUAUUGCAUUCAUUAUUUGUUCAUUUCAUUUAUUGUUUGCAUUAAUUGUGUGCAUUAAUGUUUGCAUUCAUAUUCAUUAUUCAUUCUGCCUGGCUGGUUGUCUGUUUUUCUUUGUGGGGUGGGAGUCAGUUGAGGUAAAAGGUCCAAUACCCAGACCAUGAGUGAAAUCUAGGAUGAUUAGGAAUAUAGUGAUUCAUGGGAAGCGGGUGGUAUUGCGCCACUUAGCGGAACAUUGAUAUCUCGAGCAGUUCAGACCCUGGUGGGUUAUCGUCGUUACAUACUUCGGGUGUGUAUAUGAUGGUAUUCUGCGAAAGGUUAUUUAUGCUGCGUUUCUCUCGACCUUACCCUGGCCUAGACUACACCCGUGAGUGGGGAAGGGUUCAUUAUUACAGGUACCUGUUGGUGACUUAUGGUUCUGUUGGUGACUCUCAGUUCAGAUAACAGUGUGUUCAGUUGACCUUGGAUCUUUUAAGUUGGAUUUGGGUUCUGAUUUUGACUGAAGCUUCGACCUAAUGAUCAGUUUGCACAACCAGCCAGUCCAGUCUGCAUCAUUUGCAUCAUAGCAUAUUUAUUUUUCAAAAGAAACGCAAAAAAAAAUGAAUGAAAAAAAAAAGAAAAAAGAAGAGAAAAAAAAAAGAGAAACUAAUCUCUGCAUGCAUAUCAUUUCUCAGGUACAUUCCAGAGCUUGGUCUACUGAUAUAGAUGGCAACAGUCUCAGAGCUGAAGCGGAAGACCUGUUCCUACAGCUUUCAUCGUGAGUCGUUGACUGCAUUGAUCGAGUUGGGUAGUCUUGUAAUUGAUGAUCGUCUGAAGAGUUUUGUUGGGCAGUUUGGAGAUAUUCUGACAGUGCUGAAGACAGUAGUUGAUCCGGUACCUCUGCAGACACUUCUUCAGUUUUAUGAUCCAGAGCUUAGAUGCUUUACAUUUCAAGACUACCAGUUGGCGCCUACUCUCGAAGAGUAUUCUAUUUUGACGAGCAUCCCGAUUCAGCAUCAGAUUCCCUUCUUGGACGUCCCAAAGAAGGUCGACUUCGGAGUUGUUGCCAGAGCUCUCCGGUUGAGUGUCAAGGAGGUUUGUGAGAGUUGGAAGCCCUGUGGGGAAGUUAUGGGUCUGCCGUUGAAGUUUCUCCUGAGAGUAGCCAGAGAUGAAGCAGAGAAGGGAAAUUGGGAAGUUUUUCACGCCCAGCUUGCUGCCAUGAUCUAUGGGAUCGUCCUAUUCCCAAGUAUGCCUAAUUUCAUUGACUAUGCUGCUAUCAGUAUUUUCAUCAGAGGGAAUCCAGUCCCCACCUUGUUAGCUGAUACUUACUAUGCCAUCCACAGUAGGCAUGGUAAGGGUGGGGCUAUCAGGUGCUGUAUACCCCUCCUAUUCAGAUGGUUUAUGUCGCUCCUGCCCGUCAGUGGACCCUUUGUAGAUACCCAGAGCACUCUUAAGUGGACUCAGAGGGUCAUGUCGCUCACCUCCUACGACAUCAGAUGGCAGUCAUACCGGAUGGACGUGAAGGAUGUUAUCAUGAGUUGUGGUGAAUUCCGGAACGUGCCACUCGUGGGGACCAAGGGUUGUAUAAAUUAUAAUCCAGUUCUUUCUCUUCUCCAAUUAGGGUUUGUUAUGAGUAGAAGACCACUUGAAGCUGAGAUAGCUGAGAGUGUGUGUUUUGAGAAGAAAGAUGACCCGGCUAGAUUGGAGCAGAUAGGGAGAGCCUGGAGAUCUGUUGGAGUGAAGGAUGGAUCCGUCUUAGGGAAGAAGUUUGCCAUUGCAAUGCCUGAUUAUACUGAUUGGGUAAAGAAGAGAGUGGAAACUUUGCUGCUACCCUAUGAUAGGAUGGAGCCGUUGCAAGAGCAACCACCUUUGGUUCUUGCUGAUAUUGUGCCUGCUGAGCACUAUAAGCAAGCCCUGAUGGAAAGUCGCCGUUUGAGGGAGAAAGAGCAAGACACUCAGAUGGAACUGUACAAAGCUAAAGCCGAUAAGUUGCACUUGGCCCAUCAACUCAGGGAAGUGCAAGGAGAAGAUGCUAGCAGAGCCAGGAGCAAGAAGAGAUCAUAUGAGGAGAUGGAAUCCAUGUUGGAAACAGAGCAUAGGGAGUGUUUGAGGCUACAGAGAGCAGAAGUCAACUAUCAGAAGAAGAUCAGAGACUUGGAGAAGCAACUCAAAGACAAAGACGCUCAGUUGAAGAAGGAGGUAGACUUAAGACAGAAAUCAGAGGACUAUCUUGGAGGAGAAGUCUUGGAGCUCAGAAGACAGUUAAAGGAGAAGAUCACUCCUCUACCAGAAUGUUCAGAAUGCACACUGUUGAUAGACCAGUGCCAUUACCUGAAGACCCUCAUUCCGGAAGACCGUCCGUCUUAGAUUGUAUCUUUGAUGCAUUUUGCUGAGAAUCACCUCCAGGCUUGUUGGAUGGGAUUCAUUUGUUUGUACUCUGUUUCGGAUUUCUGUUGACUCUUGGUUGUAUGACCUUUUUGCCCUUAUGUAUAGAUAAGGUUGUCAGUAUUUCCCUGUUAUUCUCAUUUUUUUCCCUGUAUCUGUUGUUCUCUUGUUGCUGCAGGUUGCCAUCUUUUCAGGAUGGGUCAGGCUCUUUGAAUGCCUGAGAAAUGAGCAUAUCAUGUGCAUCAUACGCAUCAUUAAACAUCAUACUCAUCUCAUUUGCAUAACAGGUGUUCUUGUGCCGUCUUCUCACUUUGAUUCCUGUGUCCAGGCAGGAUAGCUGAUCAGAGACCGCACCGCUAUUCAACGCGACUCAACCAUCAACGCAAUAUGGAUCAAGUACAAGCCGAGUUAGCAGAGAUGAGGGCUAACAUGGCCCAGUUCAUUCAUAUGAUGCAAGGGGUUGCGCAAGGACAAGAAGAACUCCGAGCACUGGUUCAGAGGCAAGAAGCUGCAAUUCCACCGCCCAACCAGGCUCUGCCAGAAGGAAACCCAGUUCCUGACACUCCUGCUGUUGCUAUUCCCGUCAACAACUAUGCUGAAGGUGAAGAGUUGAGGGGUAUUUGAGUUAACGGUCAACCGAUUGCUCCAGAUGUUGCUAAUGCCAGAGUCAUUCAUGCUCCGGCCCGUAACAGAAUUCCGAUUGUUGACAGACAAGAGGAUAUGUUUACCUUACUCAGUGAAGACGAAGAUAUUUUGGGCAGAAAUGAUGCAAGAGAUCGUAAAGUUGAGGCCCUUGCUGAGAAGAUCCGGGCAAUGGAAUGUCAAAACUCCCUCGGUUUUGAUGUUACCAACAUGGGAUUAGUUGAAGGUCUGAGAAUCCCGCACAAAUUCAAGGCACCGUCGUUCGACAAAUACAACGGUACCUCCUGCCCUCGCACCCAUGUGCAGGCAUACUACAGAAAGAUAUCCGCAUACACUGAUGAUGAGAAGAUGUGGAUGUACUUUUUCCAAGACAGCCUAUCUGGGGCGUAAGGCAUACUACAGAAAGAUAUCCGCAUACACUGAUGAUGAGAAGAUGUGGAUGUACUUUUUCCAAGACAGCCUAUCUGGGGCGUCUUUGGAUUGGUAUAUGGAGUUGAAGCGGGAUUCAAUCAGAUGUUGGAGGGACUUGGGUGAAGCUUUCCUCAGGCAGUACAAGCAUAAUAUGGACAUGGCUCCGACCCGGACUCAGCUGCAGAGUAUGUGUCAGAAAAAUAAUGAGAGCUUUAAAGAGUACGCCCAGAGGUGGCGCGAGCUGGCUGCAAGAGUUCAACCCCCUAUGUUGGAAAGGGAGUUGACAGACAUGUUUAUCAGCACUCUGCAAGGUGUGUAUAUGGACCGGAUGGGAAGCUGCCCAUUCAGAAGUUUUUCUGAUGUCGUCAUCUGUGGCGAGAGAACUGAAAGUUUAAUCAAAGCUGGUAGGAUUCAUGAUACGGGUUCUUCUUCGUCAUCGAAGAAACUCUUCUCUGGGGCACCUCGCCGUAGAGAAGGAGAGACCAAUGCUGUACAACACAGAGGGGGUGUGUACAGAGCAAAUACAAACAGAGAUCAAUAU